GGCAAGCGCAAGCGACGGCAAGCGCAAGCGACGGCAAGCGCAAGCGACGGCAAGCGCAAGCGACGGCAAGCGACCGCGCAAGCGACCGCGCAAGCGCAAGCGAGACUUUUGUGCUUGUCUUGCAAGGUGGAAGAGACGAUGCACGAAACGAAGAGCCGGCGGACGGAGGCCACCAGACCCGUGAGCGGGGUGCAAAGGAAGGAAUCACCCAAAGAAAGCAGUCGCCAAGUGAUGAAGAGGAGCCUGAUGCAUGGCUGGCCAGAGGUGACAUGGCAAUCAAAUAUGCAAGGGUAGUGUACACGCUUGUUGGUUUUAAUUUGGUUCCCUUAUUUGUCUGCCUUUCAGGGUUGCCGGGGCAGCGGAUGGGACGAGCGCCAGCCUGCACCGAGAGGGACCGGGCCGCACCCGCAAGACCAGGGAGGGGGCAGGAUUGCCGGCCGGGGCAGCGGACCGGACGAGUGCCUGCACCGAGAGGGACCGGACCGCGAGACCAGAGGUUGCGCGAGGCGGAGGAGGAGUCCAAACGUCGAGUACCGGCCGGGAGGGGACCCGAACCAUCGGCCGUGACGAGCGGCCUACAACAGACGGACGCACGGGUGCAGAUGCGGCGAGGGCAAAGUGCCCAGCCAGCAUUUAAGGAGAGUAUCACUUUGUUUUUCCUUUGGUGCUUUCUUUCUUGCCCUCCCUCCCUCCCUCCACUUUUUCACUGGGUGUGCACACUGGCCGUCUGCAUGAUGCCUUUCUUUCUCAGCGCAGCGUCAUUUUGCAAUAUUGUUUUAUUGUUGUGUUUUUUAAUACAUGAACUGUUUGGACUGUCAUUGUGUGUGUGUACCUCUGAACCUGAAUUAAACUGAACUGAAUUCAAGUGGUCCAUUUUAAACAUUGGCAUGUGAAGUCCAUCGUGCAUAAUCAGAGUUGAAUGACAACAUACAAAAUGGAAUCAUUUGAGACAUUCUCAAUGAUAAGGCAAUUGUAAAGUUAGUCAAACAAAACUGUCUUGUUAAAUAUGCAGUGUCAGGCUUUUUAUUUUUACUACACAAAGAAAAGCUGUAUGCAUUCUAAAUGGUUGACAAAAGCCAAGUAGCCCGACACCCAUAGAUUCAAACGACAAGCCUCAGCGUACAGUCUCUGUUGCGAUCAAUAAGUCUUCUUUGGCAACCCUGCUUUAAAAUGGCCACCGAACUCUGAAUCUUGGUAUAUGUUGGUGCAUUUUUCUGUAGGAGUAAAAGUCUAUUUUAAUCAAGUCUGAGGCUUCUUUUUUUCUUAAAUCAUGCCUCAUGUGGGCAUUCUUGUGAAUAAAGUGAACGUUGGUGUGUUUUCUUCCUGUUUGUGGUCUUGUAAAUAAAGUCAACUUUGGUGUCAGUCAUCAUUC